rnacentral:sRNA from 1 species
UAAAUCAGCUCAGCUUUGUACACUGAUGCCCCAAGCAUAUGUAUUCACAGAAAUAGCUUAUUUUUUCUGUUUUUUUUUUUAUUCUGUGCUAUGGUCGCAAAUCUGGUUAUUGUCAACAUUGGAAGAAUAUCAAGAACGUUCUGUUCUUCCUGCAAUCCUCCGUCAAAAAUAUGUUUUAAAAAGCCGGACGCAAAUUUGAUAAAAUGUGACUAUAUAGGUCCACCAGAUAAAAUCUCCAACAUUCGGCCGUUUGUUCGAAGCAUACCUGACAAUGAAACAGAACUUCAAAAAAAACUGAGAUUGAAGAGAACGACGGUGGAAGAAUGGAAUCAUUCUUUUUGGUCAAGGCAUAAUAAACGUUUUUAUGAUG